AAUUCAGUAUUGAGCUUUUGGUCUUGCUGUUACACUGUUGUUAUCAUGUUUUCAGCUUGUUCAACGUUUAUGCUUUCUGUUAUGAUGUCUGAGUAGUGAAUAGGUUUCUGAGGAUGGGUUAGAGUAGUGUAGAAUUCUCAGUAUGCUAGGUAAUUGAGUAUUGAUUGAUAGAUCCCUUCUGGAUUAGUUGUUCUUAAUGCCUAUUGCUUUCCGAUCAACUGGAAUUUGAGCCCAGACAUUUCCGCGCCCAAAAGGUGUUCGACGAAAUGUCUGAACCACUAAUUCCAGAGAUUCGUGGCCCUAUACCAAGGUAUUGGUUGUAGGGAGCGUUUUGGCUUUAACUUGUUGAUUCGUAAUGCCUGUUAGGUUAGCUCUCGUCAAUGGUGAUUGAGUCUGGGACUAGGUUAACUGGAGAGUCUCUAUUGCGGUGGCACUUAGAUUUGGUUAAUGAACUUGUUGUCUAGGGUUAAUUUAUUGAGCAUGUCAAUCACCUGUAAACUAAGGAAACAAAACUACUCAAUUACCCCAUCCUCAGGAAUUCUUUAUCUGAUUGAAUUAUUUGUUUACUCUACUGUUGUUUACUGCAUCUUGUUAUCUGUCGCUUAAUUUCUGCGGUUCUUUCUUGUUACUCGACCUCAUACUCGACCACCCAGUUGUCUAGCAACAGACUGUGCAGUCGAGUAUCUGUGUUUUAUUUUCUGUCUGUUACUCGACCUGUCACUCGACCUCACCCAGUGCUCUACAAAGAGCUGUGUUGGUCGAGUGUUUUACUGUUUCUGCUUGAAUUUCUAUUUUCUGCAUGUUCACUUAGAACUGCUAGAACACACCACAACCUGUUAUUGCUUGGCUUGACUUAGUGACUUCUGAUCACAUCUUAAUUGUUAGCAUCACACCCAUUUGGAUUGACAACCUUCAGUACUACAACGACAUGAUAAUGCUUUAGGUUU
rnacentral:sRNA from 1 species